rnacentral:rRNA from 1 species
AGUGAAUAGAUACCCGGGUAGUCCACGCUGUAAACGAUGGACACUGGAUUUUGGCAGUAUCGACCCUGUCAGAAAUCGAAAGCAAACGCGUUAAGUGUCCCACCUGGGGACUACGGCCGCAAGGCUAAAACUCAAAGGAAUUGACGGGGACCCGCACAAGCGGUGGAGCAUGUGGUUUAAUUCGACGGUAAACGAAGAACCUUACCGGGGUUUGACAUCUAGCUGCAUAUUCUAGAGAUAGAAUAGCCUUCGAGGGUGCUAGACAGGUGCUGCAUGGUUGUCGUCAGCUCGUGUCGUGAGAUGUUGGGUUAAGUCCCGCAACGAGCGCAACCCCCACUUAUGUGUUGUAUUUUACUACAUAAGACUGCCCUGGUUAACAGGGAGGAAGGUGGGGACGGACGUCAAAUCAGCAUGG